rnacentral:rRNA from 1 species
GUGGGGAAUAUUGCACAAUGGGCGAAAGCCUGAUGCAGCAACGCCGCGUGAGGGACGACGGCCUUCGGGUUGUAAACCUCUUUUAGUAGGGAAGAAGCGAAAGUGACGGUACCUGCAGAAAAAGCACCGGCUAACUACGUGCCAGCAGCCGCGGUAAUACGUAGGGUGCAAGCGUUAUCCGGAAUUAUUGGGCGUAAAGAGCUCGUAGGCGGUCUGUCGCGUCUGCUGUGAAACCUGGAGGCUCAACCUCCAGCCUGCAGUGGGUACGGGCAGAGUAGAGUGCGGUAGGGGAGAUUGGAAUUCCUGGUGUAGCGGUGGAAUGCGCAGAUAUCAGGAGGAACACCGAUGGCGAAGGCAGAUCUCUGGGCCGUAACUGACGCUGAGGAGCGAAAGCGUGGGGAGCGAACAGGAUUAGAUACCCUUGUAGUCC